GGAGACCGGCCGCAUGGACCCAGGGACAGUGGCCACCAUGCGUAAGCCCCGCUGCUCCCUGCCUGACGUGCUGGGGGUGGCAGGGCUGGUCAGGCGGCGUCGCCGGUACGCUCUGAGCGGCAGCGUGUGGAAGAAGCAAACCCUGACAUGGAGGGUACGUUCCUUCCCCCAGAGCUCCCAGCUGAGCCAGGAGACCGUGCGGGUCCUCAUGAGCUAUGCCCUGAUGGCCUGGGGCAUGGAGUCAGGCCUCACAUUUCAUGAGGUGGAUUCGCCCCAGGGCCAGGAGCCCGACAUCCUCAUCGACUUUGCCCGCGCCUUCCACCAGGACAGCUACCCCUUCGACGGGUUGGGGGGCACCCUAGCCCAUGCCUUCUUCCCUGGGGAGCACCCCAUCUCUGGGGACACUCACUUUGACGAUGAGGAGACCUGGACUUUUGGGUCAAAAGGCCUCUCGGCAGCCAAAGCAGGAGCUGGCAGGCGGCUCACCGGUUGAUGAGGAGCUGGGCUUCAGCCGGGGCUGGCAUGUGAAUCCUCUGGGUCCUGGCAGUUCUGAGCACCUGAGCUGAAUCCGGAGGGAAGAGGCUGCUGUGGUGGGAAGAGGCUGGGAGCAAGACCGGGUGCUGGGGCCAGCAGGCUGUGGUCUGAGAGUGCCUGCUAGAGGAGAUCUGUGUUCCCAAGGAGAUGGAGGAAGACCUCGGGUGGGGGUGGUACAGGGAAGGAGAGGACAGGCAGAGGCUGUGGACAGGGAGAUGGGGGAGGGGGGAUGGAGGACUCAAGGGAUGUAGUGGGUGUGGCUU
rnacentral:sRNA from 1 species